rnacentral:rRNA from 1 species
GAAUAUUGGACAAUGGGCGCAAGCCUGAUCCAGCGACGCCGCGUGGGUGAAGAAGGCCUGCGGGUUGUAAAGCCCUUUCGGUAGGGACGAAAACCUUCGACUUAACACGUCGAGGGAUUGACUUAACCUACAUAAGAAGCACCGGCUAACUCUGUGCCAGCAGCCGCGGUAAUACAGAGGGUGCGAGCGUUAAUCGGAAUUACUGGGCGUAAAGCGCACGUAGGCGGCUCUGCAAGUCGGUUGUGAAAUCCCCGGGCUCAACCUGGGAACUGCGACCGAGACUGCAUUGCUAGAGUAUGGGAGAGGAAAGCGGAAUUUCUGGUGUAGCAGUGAAAUGCGUAGAUAUCAGAAGGAACAUCAGUGGCGAAGGCGGCUUUCUGGACCAAUACUGACGCUCAGGUGCGAAAGCGUGGGGAGCAAACAGGA